AUCCAGAUGACGAGUCUCAAAUAGGACGAAAUGCUCGUUGUGGAU
rnacentral:hammerhead_ribozyme from 1 species